rnacentral:rRNA from 1 species
UACGGAGGGUGCAAGCGUUAAUCGGAAUUACUGGGCGUAAAGCGCCCGCAGGCGGCUUGCCAAGUUCGAUGUGAAAUCUCCCGGCUCAACUGGGAGGGUGCAUCGAAAACUGGCAGGCUUGAGGCAGGGAGAGGGAUGUGGAAUUCCAGGUGUAGUGGUGAAAUACGUAGAGAUUGGGAAGAACACCAGUGGCGAAGGCGGCUAUCUGGACGGUUUCUGACACUAAGACUCGAAAGCGUGGGGAGCAAACAGG